UACAGGGGGGGCAAGCGUUGUUCGGAAUUACUGGGCGUAAAGGGCUCGUAGGCGGCCAACUAAGUCACACGUGAAAUCCCCAGGCUUAACCUGGGAACUGCAUCCGAUACUGGAUGGCUUGAAUCCGGGAGAGGGAUGCAGAAUUCCAGGUGUAGCGGUGAAAUGCGUAGAUAUCUGGAGGAAUACCGGUGGCGAAGGCGGCAUCCUGGACCGGCAUUGACGCUGAUGAGCGAAAGCUAGGGGAGCAAACGGG
rnacentral:rRNA from 1 species